UUCUGGGAUCAGAUGGGGAAUCAGGACCCCGUGGCGUCCGGAAAGGCAAGGAAGACAGGCAGGGCAGGAUGAAAUCCAAGGGAGUGUGGGGAGGAAGAAGAAGCCAAAGGAAAUUUGGAGCACUUUCUCAGCCCCCUGGCCAUUCUGUUAGGCCACCUUGCGGUGGGUGACAACACCACGGCAAAUGCCGCUGUGGUGCUGCGGCAUUUGGGAGGGGACCUUUGAGGGCUUUGGGGUCUGCCGGGGGUGCUCUUGGAGGUGCUGCUGCGGUGGUGGAGGUGGGAGCUGGCCCUUGGGCUAGGAGUGCUGUCCAUUCUCCUGUGUACUUGCCCUGAAUUGUCGAGGCUUCCGGAUCUUUGGUGGUGGCUGGGGUCUUCGUGACCUUCUCCCCAGCAUCCUUCACUUUGCCUUUUACUGCAGCGGUCUAGCUCUGUUCCUCCCUGCGCAGGCUUGGGAAGCUCUCCUCUCCAGAUCCCUCCUCACUGGUCGGGCCUCGCCUCUUGCCUUUGCAAAUCGCCUCAGAACGUGAAGGCUACAGCAGCGGAAGCCUGGACUUCCUUUUUGACCGGAAGCUCUAGGCUCCCUGGACUUCUAGAACGCAAAGACUUGCAACCUAGCAAUGGCGAUGAUGCGGCUCAGCCUCAUUUUGACGUAGGCAGGGCGUUCUUAGUAGCUAGGAGACGCCAGACACCGGCAGCUUCACCAGGACUGCCCUCCUUUGGCCCUGGCUGACACAGCUGUAGCCUCCCCAGGUUUCCCAGUGGCCCUUGCAGAUGGCUGAGAGGACAAGACCACCACCGGCUGAGAAGUUCCAAAGGCCAGGCACCCCAGUUUAGUUUUGGAAGGACCGGCAGCUACAAUCUUCUCCUGGGUCGGGCGGCCUCCAUCAGCUUUGAUGAGCCUGAGGCCAUCACAUACGUCAUCAGUGCGGUCAAUAGAAAGAUCAAGCUCCGGGUCACUUGGGAGAGCUAUUCUGAAAUCCGCCACCGGGCCCAAAAGACUGCCAAAAUACAGACAACACUCAGGAGAAUGCCAGUAUGGAUGUGGUUCAUUUCCUUUGGUUUCACUUUUUGCAAGAAUGUCAAUAUGGAUGUGGUUCAAUUCCUCUAGCUCCUCUAGCAGUGAGUCAAGUUGCUGGUCAUUGGACAAAGAUCACAAAUUUAGAGUCUGGCUGAACCUGGAUUCUUUAUCCCCUCUCUCCUUUUGUCUGUGACUCCCCCACUAUUACUAAAAGAAGAUCAGAACCAUGUCUCUUCAUU
rnacentral:lncRNA from 1 species